rnacentral:lncRNA from 1 species
UAGAAAACAUAAACAUAAAUAUAAGUGUGAGUAGUAUACUACACACUUCACACGCUAUUAUACAUUUCUAACUCACGCACAUACAUCGUCAAAUACGACUACCAAUUAAUCAUUCAUUUACAAACACACCAAUCAUAUAGUUUCACGUCUUCUCGGACACUACCAAAGUGUUCAUUUUAUAGUCAUGACGGACUCUACACUUGUUCAUUUUAUAGUCAUGACGGACUCUACACUUGUUCAUUUUAUAGUCAUGACGGACUCUACACACAUACCAAGUCAUGGCAACAUUCACAGUAUUAAACAAUUAGUAAAUACCAAAGCUUAACACAUACGGAAAACACAUUACAAUCCA